GCGGCCUUAGCUCAAUGGAUAGAGCAUCUGUCUACGGAACAGAAGGUUAGGGGUUCGAGUCCCUUAGGCCGCACCA
rnacentral:tRNA from 1 species